rnacentral:rRNA from 1 species
UACGUAGGGUGCAAGCGUUGUCCGGAAUUAUUGGGCGUAAAGAGCUCGUAGGCGGUCUGUCGCGUCGGCUGUGAAAUCCCGAGGCUCAACCUCGGGUCUGCAGUCGAUACGGGCAAACUGGAGUUUUGCAGGGGAGACUGGAAUUCCUGGUGUAGCGGUGAAAUGCGCAGAUAUCAGGAGGAACACCGGUGGCGAAGGCGGGUCUCUGGGCAACAACUGACGCUGAGGAGCGAAAGCGUGGGGAGCGAACAGG